rnacentral:rRNA from 1 species
GACGAACGCUGGCGGCGUGCCUAAUACAUGCAAGUCGAGCGAAGUUUUUCUGGUGCUUGCACUAGAAAAACUUAGCGGCGAACGGGUGAGUAACACGUAAAGAACCUGCCUCAUAGACUGGGACAACUAUUGGAAACGAUAGCUAAUACCGGAUAACAGCAUUAACUGCAUGGUUGAUGUUUAAAAGUUGGUUUUGCUAACACUAUGAGAUGGCUUUGCGGUGCAUUAGCUAGUUGGUGGGGUAAAGGCCUACCAAGGCGACGAUGCAUAGCCGACCUGAGAGGGUGACCGGCCACACUGGGACUGAGACACGGCCCAGACUCCUACGGGAGGCAGCAGUAGGGAAUCUUCCGCAAUGGGCGAAAGCCUGACGGAGCAACGCCGCGUGAGUGAAGAAGGAUUUCGGUUCGUAAAGCUCUGUUGUUAGGGAAGAAUGAUUGUGUAGUAACUAUACACAGUAGAGACGGUACCUAACCAGAAAGCCACGGCUAACUACGUGCCAGCAGCCGCGGUAAUACGUAGGUGGCAAGCGUUGUCCGGAAUUAUUGGGCGUAAAGCGCGCGCAGGUGGUUUAAUAAGUCUGAUGUGAAAGCCCACGGCUCAACCGUGGAGGGUCAUUGGAAACUGUUAAACUUGAGUGCAGGAGAGAAAAGUGGAAUUCCUAGCGUAGCGGUGAAAUGCGUAGAGAUUAGGAGGAACACCAGUGGCGAAGGCGGCUUUUUGGCCUGUAACUGACACUGAGGCGCGAAAGCGUGGGGAGCAAACAGG